rnacentral:lncRNA from 1 species
AUACAUUUGAUACUCUCUAAAUGUAUUAAAUGAAGCCUAUUAUGAAACCAGUAAACCUGCCUUCUGUAAAACACAACAUAUGACCACAGAUAUUAAAAUUGAGUGUACAUGUUCUUAAAUUCUCGUUUGGGAGAUUAUUCUCUACAAUGGGUGACUUGAAUUUAUUUUCCCACUAUUAAUUUUUGUGUGUGGAAAUUUUGCUUAAUGAUUUUCUUUCCCACUUCUAUCUGUUUGCUGAGAGAAAACUGUUCUCUUGAAAUAGCGUUGGUGACCUGAGUUUAGGAGUCAGAUGAGUUUAAAUCAUAAUUCCAAUCCUUCAUAGCUGUAUGAUGGAGAAAGUUACCAAGCUUCUCUAACUCAUUUUUUCUCAUCUGUAAAGGAAGAUAGUAAUGAUAUAUACCUUAUAAGAAUUAUAAGAUUUGAGAAUAAUCUAUUUAAAGUGCCCAAAGCAGGAGGCACCUAACAUUGUUACAAAUAUAUGUGUGUAUUUUUGUAUAUUUAUUCACAAAACUCAUCUAUACUUGGCCCAUUAUAGAGGUCUCUUGUUUUUGCCAGGUUGUCUGGAAAUCCUCCAUUUAGAGAUUCAGUCCUUCAAGAUUAUAGAAAAGUAUCAUUAACCAAAAUCCAGACAUUCCCGGGCAAGGUAUUAUGCUUUUGGCUAACAAGUUUUCAGUUAAUUUCUUAUGCUAUAAAUAGGAAUAAAAUAUGCAAAGCAUGGGCUUAUUGUGGCUUGUCAUAUAAUGUCAGAUCACGUUCUUCUUCUUCCUCUUCUUUCAUCUGGGAUCUCAGACCCCUCAAAAUCCUCAGAGUAGCUGGCUUCUGUAAACAAUUUUCAAUAUUUAAAUAAUCCUAAUAGAAACUGUACAUACCCUUUGCCUAACUCCUUGCUAACUGAAAUAUCAGUUUCUUUGCCAGUGGCUAAACUUACACCUACUCAGUAAUGCAACCCUAUCACAUGCUGGUGUGACAUUGUUAAGUUUCAUUUGUAUCUCAUUCUUAUAUUAGAAUAAUCAUGAAUCAAUUCUUACUAAAUGCAGUUUAGCAGACAGAAUGUUUCACAGUGUCAGCUCCAUGAGGAAGAGUAGAAAGAGCCAUAGCAGAGAAAAAACUGGGAUCAACUGCAUUUUGAGAAUCCAUCCUACAGUUAACUGAGAAAGCUUUUAAGGAAGGGGAAGACAGACUAAUGCCUAGAAGGAGUGUGGGAGAGACAUGAGGGUCAUGAGACAAGAAUGGCCAAAGAAUAUAUUAAAAAGAAACUCAUGACUAUCUUGCUGGCCUCUACAGAUCUUUGUCUCACUUGAAACCUUAGAAAUUUGUUCCCUUUUCAGUAGUGAAAGUGAAAGUCACUUAGUUGUGCUUUGUGACCCCAUGGCCUAUCCAUGGAAUUCUCCAGGCCAGAAUACUGGGGUGGGUAACCAUUCCCUUUUCCAGGGGAUCUUCCCAACCCAAGGAUUGAACCCAGGUC